UUCCAGACUCCUACGGGAGGCAGCAGUGGGGAAUAUUGGGCAAUGGGCGAAAGCCUGACCCAGCAACGCCGCGUGAAGGAAGAAGGCUUUCGGGUUGUAAACUUCUUUUGACAGGGAAGAGCAGAAGACGGUACCUGUCGAAUAAGCCACGGCUAACUACGUGCCAGCAGCCGCGGUAAUACGUAGGGGGCGAGCGUUAUCCGGAUUCACUGGGUGUAAAGGGAGCGUAGACGGCCAAGCAAGCCAGGGGUGAAAGCCCGGGGCCCAACCCCGGGACUGCCCUUGGAACUGCUUGGCUGGAGUGCGGGAGGGGCAGGCGGAAUUCCUGGUGUAGCGGUGAAAUGCGUAGAUAUCAGGAGGAACACCGGCGGCGUAGGCGGCCUGCUGGACCGCUACUGACGUUGAGGCUCGAAAGCGUGGGGAGCGAACAGGAUUAGAUACCCCCGUAGCC
rnacentral:rRNA from 1 species